UACGGGGGAGCAAGCGUUGUUCGGAUUUACUGGGCGUAAAGGGCGCGUAGGCGGUCGUGACAAGUCACUUGUGAAAUCUCCGGGCUUAACUCGGAACGGUCAAGUGAUACUGUCGGACUAGAGUACAGAAGGGGCAACUGGAAUUCUCGGUGUAGCGGUGAAAUGCGUAGAUAUCGAGAGGAACACCUGCGGCGAAGGCGGGUUGCUGGGCUGACACUGACGCUGAUGCGCGAAAGCUAGGGGAGCGAACGGG
rnacentral:rRNA from 1 species